rnacentral:rRNA from 1 species
UGUGGUGAUUCUGCGAGGGGGUCCCACCUCUUCCCAUUCCGAACAGAGCAGUUAAGCCCCUCAGCGCCGAUGGUACUGGUCUAAAGCCGGGAGAGUAGGUCAUCGCCACAC